UCUCUCUCUCCAGCCUAUAAUUCUGUCUCUCUCUUUCUCCAACCUAUACUCCUGUCUCUCUCUCUCUCCAACCUAUACUCCUGUCUCGCUCUCUCUCCAACCUAUACUCCUGUCUCUCUCUCCCCCUGUAGGAACAGGCGUCGUGGGUGUGUGGUUGUGAGGAUGCUGUGAUCCAGAGGUUGGAGCAGGACUUCAAGCAGACGUUACAACAACAUAACUCUCUGGAGCAGUGGGCUGCCUGGCUGGACGGCGUGGUCUCCCAGGUCCUAAAGCCCUACCCACACAGCCCUGCAGCCUUCCCUCAGGCUGCCAAGCUCUUCCUGCUGCGGUGGAGCUUCUACAGUUCCAUGGUGAUUAGAGACCUGACUCUGCGUAGUGCUGCCAGCUUCGGAUCCUUCCACCUGAUCAGACUGCUGUAUGAUGAGUACAUGUACUACCUGGUAGAACACAGAGUGGCCCAGGCUAAAGGAGAGACGCCCAUCGCUGUCAUGGGAGAGUUUGCCAGUGUGGGCAGGAGUCUGAACUGUCAGGACCCUGAUAAAGGUAAUGUCUCACCCUGCAACCCUUCAUCUCUAAUAAUGUGGCCACAAUAAACCUGUAAACGGU